GCUUGUCUCAAAGAUUAAGCCAUGCAUGUCUAAGUAUAAGCAUUAUACAGUGAAACUGCGAAUGGCUCAUUAUAUCAGUUAUAGUUUAUUUGAUAGUCCCUGCUAUUUGGAUAACCGUAGUAAUUCUAGAGCUAAUACAUGCACCAAGCGCGCUUUUACGAGCGCGUGUAUUUAUUAGAUACAAAACCAAUGCCCUUCGGGGCUCCUUGGUGAUUCAUGAUAACUAUACGAAUCGCACGGCCUUGCGCCGGCGAUGGUUCAUUCAAAUUUCUUCCCUAUCAACUUUCGAUGUUUGGGUAUUGGCCAAACAUGGUUGCAACGGGUAACGGAGGGUUAGGGCUCGACCCCGGAGAAGGAGCCUGAGAAACGGCUACUACAUCCAAGGAAGGCAGCAGG
rnacentral:rRNA from 1 species